rnacentral:lncRNA from 1 species
AUUGAUGAUGUUAAAGAUCGGGAUGAUGUCCAUAGAGCGCAUACGAUUAGGAUCAUAGACAAAGUCAUCCGUAGAUGUCUUCAUGAAGUGACGCCAUGAUGGGUAAAGGAAGGUUUCAGCACCGGAGCGAGAGCUGAAGGCAUCUCGCUUGUUGGCGUAACUAAGCUAAAUGUUCGAAAAGUUGGACGCCAUAUAGGCCUUGAGUCCGCGCAGUUGUGGCAUCUGGUUGAUGACUGUGUUGAUAGUUGUUGCCAGUGGUUUCAUGCAGCGACGUCGGUCACGAGUUGUUUGGGUCUCAUAUGGGGCGACAUAGAGUCCACUUGGGAGAGAAUUGCGAUUUUGAUUGAUGAAUGUUUUGACAUGGUCGCGACCACCACG